rnacentral:misc_RNA from 1 species
GAUGAAGAACGUAGCGAAAUGCGAUAUGUAAUGUGAAUUGCAGAAUUCAGUGAAUCAUCGAAUCUUUGAACGCACAUUGCGCCCGCCAGUAUUCUGGCGGGCAUGCCUGUUCGAGCGUCAUUACAACCCUCAGGCCCCCGGGCCUGGCGUUGGGGAUCGGCGGAGCCCCCCGUGGGCACACGCCGUCCCCCAAAUACAGUGGCGGUCCCGCCGCAGCUUCCAUCGCGUAGUAGCUAACACCUCGCGACUGGAGAGCGGCGCGGCCACGCCGUAAAACACCCAACUCUUCUGAAGUUGACCUCGAAUCAGGUAGGAAUACCCGCUGAACUUAAGCAUAUCAAUAAGCGGAGGA